CAAGUGAGGAACAGAUAAACUGAUCUGGAGGUUACAGCCUCACGAAGCAGAGCCCAGCAGAGGACAGAACUCUUCUCCAGGCAGGUUUGAGAAUCCAAGGGACUGCACUGCCACUCAGCUUCCACCAAUCCCCCACCAAACCUAGAGAUAAGAGCAGCAAGGCAUAGCACUCUCCUGUUACCAAAGGAGGUACCUGGAUAGUGAUGGUUCCCUUCCCACUGUCCGUCUGCAGGUGAAUCUCCAUCUCUGGCAAGGCCUUCCCUUCUGCCAUUAGCCGAUGACGCAGUUUCUCCAGUGCAUCGCUGCCGUUGGAGAUCAGCUCCCGGAUAAACACCUCCUUCUCCGAGUACAAGGAACGGGCAACAAUAUCCAGCAGUUUCUUUGUUUCAGCCUGAAACUCAUGCUUGGAGGCUGCACCUUUCACAUUCUCCGUGUUGCUGAUGAUGGUGUGCAGGGGCUCUUCUUCCUUGCUCUCCGCCGUCUGCGUGCUGUACGCCCGGCAAGCAGAAAUGCAGGCAGCAGGAAUGCGGUGCGGGAGCCUCCGAGAACAGAGUACUUCUCUUUGGAGGCAUGCCGGUCCUUUUGCUGCGGCCGCCCGCGGUCCGAUCCCGGCACGCAGCAGAGCCGCGAGGCACCGCCCCCUCCGCGCCGCCGCCGCCGCCAUGCCGAGCUCCCGCCUCAGCGGCGCCGCCGCCCCC
rnacentral:lncRNA from 1 species